GACGAACGCUGGCGGCGUGCCUAAUACAUGCAAGUAGAACGCUGAAGAGAGGAGCUUGCUCUUCUUGGAUGAGUUGCGAACGGGUGAGUAACGCGUAGGUAACCUGCCUUGUAGCGGGGGAUAACUAUUGGAAACGAUAGCUAAUACCGCAUAACAAUGGAUGACACAUGUCAUUUAUUUGAAAGGGGCAAUUGCUCCACUACAAGAUGGACCUGCGUUGUAUUAGCUAGUAGGUGAGGUAAUGGCUCACCUAGGCGACGAUACAUAGCCGACCUGAGAGGGUGAUCGGCCCCACUGGGACUGAGAAACGGCCCAGACUCCUACGGGAGGCAGCAGGAGGGAAUCUUCGGCAAUGGGGGCAACCCUGACCGAGCAACGCCGCGUGAGUGAAGAAGGUUUUCGGAUCGUAAAGCUCUGUUGUAAGUCAAGAACGGGUGUGAGAGUGGAAAGUUCACACUGUGACGGUAGCUUACCAGAAAGGGACGGCUAACUACGUG
rnacentral:rRNA from 1 species